rnacentral:sRNA from 1 species
GUGAAAUUAAUCACAUACAAACAUUUACCCCUUUGUUUGACCGUGAAAAAUUUCUCCCAUCCCCUUUGUUGUCGUUAAGACAUAGAAAAAGACCCUGUACAUUGGUAUAGGGUCUUUUU